rnacentral:misc_RNA from 1 species
AAAUGCGAUAAGUAAUGUGAAUUGCAGAAUUCAGUGAAUCAUCGAAUCUUUGAACGCACAUUGCGCCCGCCAGAAUUCUGGCGGGCAUGCCUGUUCGAGCGUCAUUUCAACCCUCGAGCUCCCCUUUCGGGGGGAGCCCGGCGUUGGGGACCCGGCGCUAACAACGCCGGCCCCGAAAUGGAGUGGCGGCCCGUCCGCGGCGACCUCUGCGUAGUAACAACCACUCGCACCGGGACCCGGGCGCGGCCACGCCGUAAAACACCCCACCUUCCGAAUGUUGACCUCGAAUCAGGUAGGAAUACCCGCUGAACUUAGGC